rnacentral:rRNA from 1 species
CAGUCGCCGCGGGAAAACGAAGGGGGCUAGCGUUGUUCGGAAUUACUGGGCGUAAAGCGCACGUAGGCGGACAUUUAAGUCAGGGGUGAAAUCCCGGGGCUCAACCCCGGAACUGCCUUUGAUACUGGGUGUCUAGAGUAUGGAAGAGGUGAGUGGAAUUCCGAGUGUAGAGGUGAAAUUCGUAGAUAUUCGGAGGAACACCAGUGGCGAAGGCGGCUCACUGGUCCAUUACUGACGCUGAGGUGCGAAAGCGUGGGGAGCAAACAGGAUUAGAUACCCGUGUAGUCCCUGUCUCUUAUAC